rnacentral:rRNA from 1 species
UAGUGAGUUUGAUCCUGGCUCAGGGUGAACGCUGGCGGCGUGCUUAAGACAUGCAAGUCGAACGGGCUCUUCGGAGCCAGUGGCGCACGGGUGAGUAACACGUAACUGACCUACCCCCAAGUCGCGGAUAACUGGCCGAAAGGUCAGCUAAUACGUGAUGUGAUGCCCCUUUUCUGGAGGGUCAUUAAAGGUUUACUGCUUGGGGAUGGGGUUGCGUUCCAUCAGCUAGUUGGCGGGGUAAAGGCCCACCAAGGCAACGACGGAUAGCCGGCCUGAGAGGGGUGGCCGGCCACAGGGGCACUGAGACACGGGUCCCACUCCACGGGGAGGCAGCAGUUAGGAACUCUUCCACAAUGGGGCGAAAGCCUGAUGGAGCGACGCGCGUGAGGGAUGAAC